UUUUAGAUGGGGUAAGGAUUCUCACCCGUUGGACCAGAGGGACUUUGUCAACAUCAGCAAGACGAUAGCACAGGCCAUAGAAGCCGUUGACACCAGUCAUCCAGACAAUCAUACCCAUGAGACUGCCAAUGAGAAGAAGACAGCACUUCAACAGAUACAAGAAACAUUGGAUAAUUACACUCCCGAAUUGAGAAGGAUGUCAACAUUGAUAGAGUAGUUGGCGACACUCAAGUCUCGGGCCUUAAUUUCAGGGGUUCAAGAGUUUCCAUUUCUGUAUAUUUCGCGUCACAUGCAAGCAUUUUCACAAAUAAAUCAUUGGUUUGGAAA
rnacentral:sRNA from 1 species